rnacentral:rRNA from 1 species
AGCUCCAAUAGCGUAUAUUAAAGUUGUUGCAGUUAAAAAGCUCGUAGUUGGAUGUUGGGUUCUAGUUAUGGUCGGUCUCUUCUAGAGUACUGUCAUGCUGGCCCUUUUUCUCGAGGCCUAUAGGUGCACUUUACCGUGUGUUUAUAGUGUUCGGGACUUUUACCGUGAGAAAAUUAGAGUGUUCAUAGCAGGCUAGUGCUUGAAUAUUACAGCAUGGAAUAAUGGAAUAGGAUCAUGAUCUUAUUUUGUUGGUUUCUAAGAUUAAGAUAAUGAUUAAUAGGGAUAGUUGGGGGCAUUAAUAUUUAGUUGUCAGAGGUGAAAUUCUUAGAUUUACAAAAGAUUAACUUCUGCGAAAGCAUUUGCCAAGGAUGUUUUCG